UACGGAGGGUGCAAGCGUUAAUCGGAAUUACUGGGCGUAAAGCGUGCGUAGGCGGUUCGUUAAGUCUGUUGUGAAAGCCCCGGGCUCAACCUGGGAAUGGCAAUGGAUACUGGCGAGCUAGAGUGUGUCAGAGGAUGGUGGAAUUCCCGGUGUAGCGGUGAAAUGCGCAGAUAUCGGGAAGAACACCCGUGGCGAAGGCGGCACUCUGGGACGGUACUGACGCUGAGACGCGAAAGCGUGGGGAGCGAACAGGG
rnacentral:rRNA from 1 species